rnacentral:rRNA from 1 species
UACAGAGGUCUCAAGCGUUGUUCGGAUUCAUUGGGCGUAAAGGGUGCGUAGGUGGCGCCGUAAGUCAGGUGUGAAAUUUCGGAGCUUAACUCCGAAACUGCAUUUGAUACUGCGGUGCUUGAGGACUGGAGAGGAGACUGGAAUUCACGGUGUAGCAGUGAAAUGCGUAGAUAUCCGGAGGAACACCAGUGGCGAAGGCGACUUCCUGGCCUGUUCUUGACGCUGAGGCGCGAAAGCUGGGGGAGCAAACGGG